rnacentral:sRNA from 1 species
CCAAAAGCCAUUCACCACUUAUGCCUGCACAAAAAUGGUAAUAUGGAUUUAUUGCACGCCCCGAUAUGAGCAAGAGGUGGAAGCAAGUCACACGGGAUUGCGAAUAUUGGGGCGGAUUGUAGAAGUGCGGAGCACGGAACAAUCCGUUGGCAUC